rnacentral:rRNA from 1 species
CCUACGGGAGGCAGCAGUGGGGAAUAUUGGACAAUGGGGGGAACCCUGAUCCAGCCAUGCCGCGUGUGUGAAGAAGGCCCUCGGGUUGUAAAGCACUUUCAGUGAGGAAGAACGCCUGGUGGUUAAUACCCAUCAGGAAAGACAUCACUCACAGAAGAAGCACCGGCUGAACUCCGUGCCAGCAGCCGCGGUAAUACGGAGGGUGCGAGCGUUAAUCGGAAUUACUGGGCGUAAAGCGCGCGUAGGUGGCUUGAUAAGCCGGUUGUGAAAGCCCCGGGCUCAACCUGGGAACGGCAUCCGGAACUGUCAAGCUAGAGUGCAGGAGAGGAAGGUAGAAUUCCCGGUGUAGCGGUGAAAUGCGUAGAGAUCGGGAGGAAUACCAGUGGCGAAGGCGGCCUUCUGGACUGACACUGACACUGAGGUGCGAAAGCGUGGGUAGCAAACAGGAUUAGAUACCCUAGUAGUC